UACGUAGGGUGCGAGCGUUAAUCGGAAUUACUGGGCGUAAAGCGUGCGCAGGCGGUUCGUUAAGACAGAUGUGAAAUCCCCGGGCUUAACCUGGGAACUGCAUUUGUGACUGGCGAGCUAGAGUAUGGCAGAGGGGGGUAGAAUUCCACGUGUAGCAGUGAAAUGCGUAGAGAUGUGGAGGAAUACCGAUGGCGAAGGCAGCCCCCUGGGCCAAUACUGACGCUCAUGGCACGAAAGCGUGGGGAGCAA
rnacentral:rRNA from 1 species